CCUAAGGUAGCGAAAUUCCUUGUCGGGUAAGUUCCGACCUGCACGAAUGGCGUAACGAUCUCCCCCGCUGUCUCUGAUGUGGACUCAGCGAAAUUGAACUGUGUGUCAAGAUGCACACUACCCGCGGUUAGACGGAAAGACCCCAUGCACCUUUACUCUAGCUUCGCACUGGCAUCAGGAUUGUGAUGUGCAGGAUAGGUGGUAGGCUUUGAAGCGGGGACGCAAGUCUUCGUGGAGCCACCCUUGAGAUACCACCCUUCGCACUCUUGAUGUCUAACCGCGGCCCGUUAUCCGGGUCCGGGGACCAUGCGUGGUGGGGAGUUUGACUGGGGCGGUCGCCUCCCAAAUCGUAACGGAGGCGCGCGAUGGUUGGCUCAGAGCGGUCGGAAAUCGCUCGUUGUAGUGCAAUGGCAUAAGCCAGCCUGACUGCAAGUACUGACAAGUUCGAGUCAGAGUCGAAAGACGGC
rnacentral:rRNA from 1 species